AAGGGUUUCAACCAUGGUACCUCAAGUUUACUCUCUGACCUUGAGCAAUCUAGUAGUAUUCCCAAUGUUACAUUGGCAAAUGGCUCAGUCACUACAGUUUCUGAUCUCAAGACGGGGAAGAUUAUUGGUGGAGGGCAUGAAGUCGGUGGCCUUUAUUACUUGGAUCGAUGUGGUUCUUCCCGUUUAGUGGCUUCUCAUUUGUCUAUCUCGCCUCUUUAGCAUCAUUGUCGCCUUGGUCAUCCAUCUCUCAAGAAUUUGAAGUCAUUAGUUUCGUCGUGUUGUCAAAUUGAGUCUUUAC